rnacentral:rRNA from 1 species
GGUGGUGCAUGGUUGUCGUCAGCUCGUGUCGUGAGAUGUUGGGUUAAGUCCCGCAACGAGCGCAACCCUUAUCCUUAGUAGCCAGCAGGGAAAGCUGGGCACUCUAGGGAGACUGCCAGGGAUAACCUGGAGGAAGGUGGGGAUGACGUCAAAUCAUCAUGCCCCUUAUGAUUUGGGCUACACACGUGCUACAAUGGCGUAAACAAAGGGAAGCGAAGUGGCGACAUGGAGCGAACCCCAAAAAUAACGUCUCAGUUCGGAUUGCAGGCUGCAACCCGCCUGCAUGAAGCCGGAAUCGCUAGUAAUCGCAGAUCAGAAUGCUGCGGUGAAUACGUUCCCGGGUCUUGUACACACCGCCCGUCACACCAUGGGAGUCGAUAACGCCCGAAGUCAGUGACCCAACCGAAAGGAGGGAGCUGCCGAAGGCGGGAUGGAUAACUGGGGUGAAGUCGUAACAAGGUAGCCGUAUCGGAAGGUGCGGCUGGAUCACCUC